rnacentral:hammerhead_ribozyme from 1 species
AUCCAGCGGACGAGUCCCAAAUAGAAUAAAACGCGAGUCUUGGAU